AUUGAACGCUGGCGGCAGGCCUAACACAUGCAAGUCGAACGAGUGGCGGACGGGUGAGUAAUGUCUGGGAAACUGCCUGAUGGAGGGGGAUAACUACUGGAAACGGUAGCUAAUACCGCAUACCAUCAUAUAGGCCCAGAGGGGAUUAGCUAGUUGGUGGGGUAACGGCUCACCAAGGCGACGAUCCCUAGCUGGUCGGAGAGGAUGACCGGCCACACUGGAACUGAGACACGGUCCAGACUCCUACGGGAGGCAGCAGUGGGGAAUAUUGCACAAGGGGCGAAAGCCUGAUCCAGCCAUGCCGCGUGUGUGAAGAAGGUUUUCGGGUUGUAAAGUACUUUUAGCGGGGAAGCGGUACCCGAAGAAGAAGCACCGGCUAACUCCGUGCCAGCAGCCGCGGUAAUUC
rnacentral:rRNA from 1 species